rnacentral:lncRNA from 1 species
CUCCAGGCUGCUCGCAAAGUCCGGCCGGCCGGAGGCAGCCGCCAACUCCUCUCAACUUCUGCCGAUCCGCUGGGCGAAGCAACACGCUUCCUGCGCGUCUCUCCUAGGGGCUGAGCCGGGGGACCUCACACAUGGCCAGGGUUCACAUAUGGCCACAGCACACUGCAGUGAAUCCACGACUCCUCGAGAAUCAGGCCAGAGCCAUGAUCCAUCACCACCUCAUGGCAGCUACCCCAGCAGUGUUCUUAGUGUCUUCUGGGCCAGAUGGGAGCCAAGCCAAGGCUGCAGCAGCCAGCUACCUGGCUGAGCCUCCAGGCAGCCCCACACCUGGGCCGUUCUCCUACACAAAAGCCUCUGUGGUCCUAUUCCUCCCUAACCCAAGGCCCAAUAUUUUUAAACUGCAUUCCAAAGAACAACUCGCUGAGUGCCACCAAUACCUGCAAAGCAAUAUGAGGUGGGAUUUUUCUUUUGCCAUUAAAACCAGAAUGUUAUUUCUUCCUUGCUCUGAUAAUGUCUGAUUAAAUCAAUUCACUGCGGUUUUGUGCUGGAUAUGAUACUAUUUGCUUUAACAAUAUCUGGGAGGCAUUUUCUUAGUAUAAUACUUCUGCAUUUAUAGCUUAAUCCUGCUGUUUUAUUCUAAAAAGUUGAAUACUCUUGUUACCUACCUUUCUCUAAGGAUGAGAAAGACCCAAAAGAUUCUGUUGUGCUGCCACAACAGAAUUAGCUUUUUCUACUGGGUGGACGUUGUAUACUCUACUCCUUUCCUCCUUUUUAAAUCUUUCAUUAAGGCUCACCUUUUUAUGGGAAAUCUCUCUGGAAUCCCUGAAAGCCAACUGGAAGCCAUUCAGUCUUUCCAGUGCAAUAACUUAAUACAUAUUUUUUUCUGUUAACUUUAUAUGACUAUGGGCCAAGCAAGUGCUAAGUAUUCUGGACUAAAAGGUGAAGAGACUUAUCUCUGCACUGGUGACCCUUAUCUUCCAGGAAGAGUUGGUUAAAUGACUAACUCUAAUAUACUAACUGUUAUAAUAGAUUUAGGUACCAUCGGGGGUCUUAUGCAUUGGUUCUCAUAGGUUAAAUAUAUAUAUAUAAUAUAAUCAAUGGCUUACAGUCAGGUAGGCCCUGCAAGAAGUAUCUACUGAUAUGGACCGGGAGACCCUGGAGGCUGUAGGGCCUCAACCAGAAGCAUGGUAGAUUCCAAGUGUGCCUGGAGACACAUUCUUUUUACCAAGAUACCAAAGUUCUUGUAUGCCUUGGAAACUUUUACAGAUGAGAAGUUUUAUAGCCUUUUCUCUCCAAAUGCACUAUUUACCAAUGUCACUUGUGGCAUAACACAUUGUCAUCUGCCUUAGCAUAGGGCUGACCUCUGGUGCGUCAGGGCAACCCGACCUGAAAACGCAUAAUGAGUGGAGGUGGUAAAACAAAGCUGUGAUUGAGUCCACCUUUUCCUUUCUGGACCAUGUAACCAUUCUGAUCCCUUUCUUCUCAGGGGAUUUUAUUUUAAUUUAAACUUUGCUAGAUUUUUCUUUCAUUUAAAACUUCACCCCCUUAAGGUAAUAUUAACAUUUUACUGUGUACUCUUCUCUAUUUUUUGCUCAUGCAAAUAUAUAUAAGACCUAAGUUAUAUAUAUAAAAGUGUGUGCUGUUGGUGUAUGCUGUAUAUAAAUGGAAUCAUGUUAUAUACAUUACUCAGAAACUUGCUUUCUUCAUUAAACAGUGUAUAAUGGGCCUCUUUCCAGGUUACUACAUGUAGAUCCAAGUUAUUUUUAAAAGUGUAUAACAUCUCACUGUAUGGAUAAACCAUACUUUCCAAACAAUUCACCUACUGAUGAAUUUUCAAGUUCUAAGCAAUAUUUUAAUAAAUGAGUUUUAAAUAUACCCUUAUGAACAGAAGCUUUUAUUUUCAUAUGAUAGUUUCCCCCAAAGUGAUAUUACCUUAAUAUCCAUUGCCAGUUCCUCAUGAAAUUGUAAUUUCUAAGACUGUAGCUGGAACAAUCAGAAGGUGCAAAUCUAAUUAUCUUUCCCUUUCCUACCCAACAUCGCCCUGGAUCACGCACUUGAGGAGGAAGAUCCAUGAAAUAAAAGACGUAAUCCUGUUUUAAAUGUGUUUCUAUAGCAAGAGUCUUCCAAUGCCUGGGGAAAGGCUCAUGAGAGAUGCUGAGACCUGGGGCAUUCUUUCCGAGAGGUCUUUACAGAGAACAGAUCACUUCCAAUUGCUGGGCAACAGAGCAUGGAUUUCAUGUUACCAAGAAGUACUGUGAUCCGAAAAACUUAAGAUUUUCUUAAUUGGCAUCAGUUACCUGUCUCUUAGGUAGAACUACCACAAAGGACACUCAGGCCUGAGGUGCACCCUCUCUUUCCUUUCCUUCCAGAGGUUGUGCCUGCAGGAGAGCCUGGAUUGAUAGCAGCCUGCCACCCCUGCCCAUACCAGUGCCUAGUAGAAGCCCACUCCCUCAGAAACCACACUCCCCACUCCCCAGAAGGUCUUGUUUGACUCCCUUUUAAACCAACAUUUUCUGUAUUCAGACUUGCCUGUAAUAAGUGACUUACCCAUUGCCCUCAACCUAAGGAAGCCUUGCCAUUUAAAACCUCCCAAUGGAGCCUAUCAAAGCGUGCUUCAAAGUGUGAGGGAGGCUGAGAGAGGAAGUAAGUGAGAUGAAGGAGGCGUUUAACAGAGCCUAGGAGAAAGAGCUUUGUGGUCUUACAGAACAGUAAGUUAACCUCUCCAUCUGUGUACAAACAGCUUAAUGGUGAUCACUGCCUGGCUAAGGGGUUGUGAGGACAAAAUGAGCCAAUGCAGAUGAAGCAUCUGGCACAGUUCCUGGGACAUAGUAUUGUUAACACAGGUGAGUUUCCUUUUCUUCAGCUCGUCCUAAAAGACCGUAUUUAACCAUAGCAGACAGAGACACAGAGUAAGAAGGAGAAAGAGCAUGACAGCAGGGGUCAGCGUGCCUGUGCACUACUAGUCCCAGCUCUGUCAUUUAGCAGCCAGGUGGCCUUAGGAAAGUCAUUUAACUUUUCUGGGCCUGUUUCCUCCUCUUUAAGAGAUUUGCCUGAGACAAACCCCGCAUCCUCCUUCUGUUUGCCAUUUCAUUCAUGAUGUGGAUUAUGAUGCUAACCACCUCCAAAUGACAGCAAAGACUGGUCAGAGGCAUCUCAAAUCAAAAUUCAACUCUGAUGGCCAAAAUAAAGGCUGAAGAGCAGAACGCCCCCUCCUUCCCACUGUAAAACUGAUGGGAAGGGAAGUCAGCCUGCCAUCAGUUCAGGGGUUUACAAAGGAGGCCUGUAAGUAAUGUUAAUUACUGUGUUCAUUCCAGCACUGGGCUCUAGUUUAGCUUUUCCAGAGGUCGAAAGAGGUGCCAUUUUUUAAGAGCCCCAUUUGGCUCCAGCAGCCUCAAUAGUAGUAGCCAAGCAGCCAUUAUAAGUAGUCAUCACUCGAUUUCCUCAUCACUUGUCAGGAGGCAGAGCUUGAUGGGGAAGUCAAUGAAUUUCUCAGCAAUACAGGCUACUGGGCUGUAAGUCAGCAUAACCCCAUAGCUCUCAAUGAUCCAUGUCAAUACAUGAAUGACACAAAUCGCAGAUUAUUGAAAAAAAAUUGUUCUUUGACUCAUUGUAUGUAUUAUGUAUUUUUACAUGCAAAUAAAAUUUC